GCUGAAUUGGCAGACUAGUGCGGUUGAUUUAGAUUCUUCAUAAAAAACUUAUAUUUUAUUUAGUA
rnacentral:tRNA from 1 species